CAGCCCCACGGGAAUACGGAGGGGGCUAGCGUUGUUCGGAAUUACUGGGCGUAAAGCGCACGUAGGCGGCUUUGUAAGUUAGAGGUGAAAGCCCGGAGCUCAACUCCGGAAUUGCCUUUAAGACUGCAGAGCUAGCAGGUGAGAGAGGUGAGUGGAAUUCCGAGUGUAGAGGUGAAAUUCGUAGAUAUUCGGAAGAACACCAGUGGCGAAGGCGGCUCACUGGACGACUGUUGACGCUGAGGUGCGAAAGCGUGGGGAGCAAACAGGAUUAGAUACCCCUGUAGUCCCUGUCUCUUAUACA
rnacentral:rRNA from 1 species